rnacentral:rRNA from 1 species
CCUACGGGAGGCAGCAGUCGAGAAUCAUUCACAAUGGGGGAAACCCUGAUGGUGCGACGCCGCGUGGGGGAAUGAAGGUCUUCGGAUUGUAAACCCCUGUCAUGUGGGAGCAAAUUAAAAAGAUAGUACCACAAGAGGAAGAGACGGCUAACUCUGUGCCAGCAGCCGCGGUAAUACAGAGGUAUCAAGCGUUGUUCGGAAUCACCGGGCGUAAAGCGUGCGUAGGCUGUUUCGUAAGUCGUGUGUGAAAGGCGCGGGCUCAACCCGCGGACGGCACAUGAUACUGAGAUACUAGGGUAAUGGAGGGGGAACCGGAAUUCUCGGUGUCGCAGUGAAAGGCGUAGAUAUCGGGAGGAACACUCGUGGCGAAGGCGGGUUCCUGGACAUUAACUGACGCUGAGGCACGAAGGCCAGGGGAGCGAAAGGGAUUAGAUACCCUAGUAGUC